rnacentral:rRNA from 1 species
UGCCAGCAGCCGCGGUAAUACGGAGGGUGCAAGCGUUAAUCGGAAUUACUGGGCGUAAAGCGCGCGUAGGCGGUUAUGUAAGUUGGAGGUGAAAGCCCCGGGCUCAACCUGGGAACUGCUUUCAAAACUGCAUAACUUGAGUACAGCAGAGGAUAGUGGAAUUUCUAGUGUAGCGGUGAAAUGCGUAGAUAUUAGAAGGAACACCAGUGGCGAAGGCGGCCACCUGGACGAUGACUGACGCUGAGACCCGAAAGCGUGGGGAGCAAACAGGAUUAGAUA